CACUUCACCCGAGAACUACGAGCGAAAGUUUAAAACUCAAAGGACUUGGCGGUUUUCUAAUUCUUCCUGGAGGAGCUUGCUAUCUAACCGAUAGUCCACGUAACACCUUACCAGCUUUUGAAUAAAACAGCCUGUAUACCAUCGUCGUCAGUUUACUUCCCGAGAAAUGUAAACAAAAGGAAUUAAUAAACUUCUUGACGUCAGAUCGAGGUGCAGCUAAUAAGUUGGGGAUAAGUGAGCUACAAUUAUAGAAAUAAAGUUAAAACCUAUAUCUGAAUAACGGACUGAUAAGCCCGUUUGAAACAGGAUUCAGCAGUAAUGGGUAACAGAAAAUACUCAUGAACCAACCC
rnacentral:rRNA from 1 species